CCGUCCCUCUCAAGCCCCGGGAGACCCGGCACUCCCUCUACAGCUCCCCCGCUAGGAACGGAAGCGUCCGGGGAAACGCCGUUGAGUUGAGGAUGUCCAGGGGAAGGUGACAUGACCCCGCAAGGUUUCCAGGCUAAAUUAGACCUCCGAAAGUGUUCGGCACCUUAAGACACCGAGUGAGCAGUAGAUCUCAAAGCUUUCCAGUGGCUUCCUCAGGAUGGGCGUGCGGCCGUAAUCUCUGCCACGGAUCCCAGCCAUACAGAUCCAAACCGUGCUAAUGUAUUUACACCCCGUUGUGGCGAGGACACAACUGCCACCUCCUAGAUGGGCUCCUUCCACUUCUGCACAAAUACCUGAUCCUUUUUCCAGGUAUAUCAGGUUUUCUCACCAGCUGCUCUAUCUAGAGUAUGAGCUAAUACCUGCUGCCAUAGGCCACUGGGAGACAUUUUAGCAGGGAUGUGAGAAGGGUGGACUGGAAAGCUGUUUGAAAAUCUGGAAAACGGCAUUGUUCGGUUCAGAGGUGGACAGCGAAGGUGUUUGGUCACUCUGUGUUAGUCCAUUGGGGAGAAGAUAUACCUAAAUCUAAAUUAACCUGUUUUAAAAAUCGCUACUCCUGCUUUUCAAAACUGCCUUUUAAAGGCAUCAAUAUUGUAAUAAACUCCAUUUAUACACUUGGGGUUGUAAUACUGUGUCACUAACAGAUGGAGAGGUAAAGAAACACUGGGUAGUC